AUAUAUACUUAUAUAUAAGUAUAUAUAGCUGGAUUGACACUUAAUGUACUUACACAGAUGUUUUUCACUUUAAUGAUUAAUGAAGUUUCACCUUUACAAACCUAGACCAGAUUGUAAUUGCUAAUUUUAGACAAAGCACUUGAAUCCUUAUAAGGAAUAUCCUGAUUAUUAGUAUUACUUAUAGAAAAAUAUUUAUAAUUUUAUUUCUAAUGUAAGGUGCUUUGUGAAAUUGUUAUAUGAAUUGAAAAAAAAAUGUGGUACUUCUUUCAUGCUCCUACUAUCAUGGUUGAAUCAAAAUGAAAAGUCCUUCUGAGUCUAGGAGACAGAAUUGGUCAAAUGCUGUUUCAGUUCCCCCUUUUUUAACUGACCUCAUUGACAUUAAAAUUUAGAUCUAUUGUCUUAUCUCUCAAGUAUUUAAAGAUGCACUGGCAGCUUCCAUCCACCAUUUCCACACCCCACAAAUGUCUACAACUUCAGUCAUCCAAAACAUGUAUAGAGCUUUACCCCAUCCAUGUGUAGAUAGAUCUUCUGGCCUUCUCCUUAUUUCUUCACCUCUCCCUUAGUCUGUUGAAUCAUUGGGGCACAACACAUCUGUGAACCAUCUUUCUCCAUUCCUCGCUCUUUUGCCUUGGAUAUAUUUAUUUCAAUAACAGGCCUGUCCAUUCUUUUCUUGCAUAGUUGUCUGAUGGAAGGACUUUGUAAAAAAAGCUAUCUAGCCCUUAAAGGGAACAUUCAUAUAUCUGCCUCACAAAACAAUGACAAUGUGUUCCAUAAUAAUGAUGAAAUAUUUUGUGUAUAUAUUUAUAGAGAGAGAAUUAACUUAAAAUUUUUUUUGUGUAUAUACAUAUAUAUAGAGAAAAAUUAACUUAAAAUUUUUUAUUUCAAUUAUGUAAUUACUAAACAAUUUUAUUAUUUUUUUUGUUACUUGUCACUUGGUAUUUACUUGUGUUUUUUUUAUGGUGUUGUAGACUCUCAAAAAAAUAAUUAAUGGUACUAUGGUGAAAAUCUAUGGAUGAUGUGAUAAGCCUUUUUUUUUUUGUGCUGUACAAAUGAAGGAUAUGAAGCAUUGAUAAUCUAUAUAUUUUAAAAGAUCAUUAUUUUAGUACUGUAAAAUCAAACUUCUUAGCUCUUUUGCUUGUAGCACAAAAUAGUCAUUAUUAUUUAGUUGGCAACAGUGAUCUUUUACCAUAGCACCCUUAACAUUGAAUUUAUCUAUAUAUUUCAAAAGUACUCCUUAUCUUCCUCCUUUUAUUUGGUUACAUUACUUUAUAAGACUUGUAUUACUCUGUAUUGCUUUCUCUCUUUUUUUUUUUUUUUUUUUUCCUUUUUUUGCUUUCUCUCUUUUUUUUUCCCUUUUUUUGCUUUCUCUCUUUUUUUUU